CCUCCUUGAAAUUCCAUCCACCAAUGACACAGGCUUAGUCUGGACCAAGGAACCCCAAAGCCAUGGGGCAGCAGAGAAACUGGAACAGAGAAACGGGGAUGACAGCAGAAAAACACUGGAGAACGAUAGCAGUAAUACGUCGACUCAUUAGGCACAUACUGUGUCCCAAACUUCACUCUAAGUGCUUCAAAUAUUGACAUAUUUAGUCUUCACAGCAACAUGUAAGGUAGGUAUUAUUAUAGCCAUUUGACGAAUGACAGAAUUGAGGCACAGUUUGGACAUAAAAACUCAGAGAAAGAACAAAUAGCAGGAUGCCAUUUGGUGCCAGAGACAGAACGAUUGAUUAGCUGCUAAUGAUUAAGGACUCAGCGGGAUAAAACUGAUAAAAUCGUGCUUCACAGAGACAACGCUCCACUGCUCUGUUGUCUGCUUUUCCACGGAAGGCGGCAUCUCCCUCCCGCUGCCCGCAGACCAUGAGAAGAUUUGCUGACGGGCUCCAAGCCCUCAUCUGAAGGCUGCGCCACAGGCCACAGGGUCUGCGAAAUGAGCGUUGGGUACUCCCACCCUUCUUACUCCUUCAGGUCCAAGAAGAUCAAGUUGAGUCCUUCACACCUUCAUCUUCAGCCUUCACCCGAGGGUGAGCACACCCUUCCCGCUCUCCAGCUGGGCACAAGGCAAAGUUUAUACGGACCCGCCCUUCCUAUGCCACCUAAGCCACGAAGCCAAGUCUCACUGUGUCUCGAAGCCUCCCUCAAGCCUUCAAGGCACACCUGACUUCCUAGGCUCUUAUCACCCCACCUUCUUCCUAGAAACCAAUGUAACGUCAUGAAGUUGUCACUUGAAUUAACUGUGAUCCUGGAGCCCUAAAGGUUGGGAAAUAUGGCUGCUGAAGGCAUUUCCCUCUAACGGCUCCAGAAAGUGGACAAGAAGGUUAACAAGUGGUUGUAAAACGGUCAAUUUGCAGGUUGCUGGAUGCAGCAAAACAAUGCCUGAUGGCACCCAGAAUCUUUCGCAGUGAGGAAGGAGGGAUUUCUUGAGCAUCAAGUCUCUCCCCUAGAGUCCAUCUCGCCGAAGAAGUGCCUCUCGCGCAAACCCUGGUGAGGUGUCUGCCUCCAAGGCUGGCGGUGAGGAACGUUGAUGGAGCUCCCAGCGUUGUGUCAAAUUCGUCCAUCAGCAGCUUAUUGUCAGCUCCUGCGUGGGAGGCCCCGGUCCAGGCACGCAGACAGAGCAGGGACAAAGCAGCCCAUCCUGCCUUCACGGAGCUCACGGUCGAUAAACAACAUGUCCAGAGAGAUUGGUGGUUCUGUUCCCAACCAUCAACAGCGACUGAUGGGAUGAGCAAACUGGAGGAAAGCGAAGAAGAAUGAAAUCCUGUGAUUACCCCUGGGGGUCCCAUGGGAAAAAGUAUGUCCUUGUAACACCACCCCAUGGGCAGGAGAUGGCAGCUCAGAUGCUUACUAUCAAAGACAGCAUCAGUAGUCUUCAGUUCUCUCCAUAGAAAGGGCAUAAGUUCUCUGCUUUAAAGUUUAGCAGGAUCGUCAAUCUUACAGCCUCUAUUUGGAAUAAUUUGGCAAAUGCCCACAGCAAGAAAACACUAGCCUAAAAUGGGCCAGCAGGCCGAAGGAGAGAAAGCUAGAGAGUAUUACCUUUAUUUUCGACAUUAUAGGACCGUGACAAUAUCUAUUAAGUUCCCAGGAAAUUACGAUUAUUUUACCUUUCUAAAGACGCUCUUGAGUGGUCCCUGAUUUCAUUAGCAGCAGCCUCUGAAAAAACAACAAACCUUAUUGGCUGAGAAAUUCAAACUCUAACCGCCGACAGGCACAUUAGAGGGGACAGGACGAGAGGCGUCUGGUAGACGGAGGCAGAGAGAGGAGGAGCUGCGGUGAAUGACGGAAAAGAAGCCGGCUCUCUCGGGAGGGAUGUGAGUCGGGCUCAUGUGAACGGGUACCUGUUUUUCUCUAAUUUACACAGUUCAAUUUCCACUCUUUGUGACUUCAAGAAACAAAGUAAGUUAUGUGAGCCAAUUACCUAUGUGCAUUUUCCUCUUCAUUUCUCUCGGGCAAAAUUCUGAUUUAAUUUCAAUCCAUAGGGCAGUUGGGCCCAUCACAUUUGAAUGAACGUGGUUCUUUGGAUGUGAGACGGCGCCAUCCCAGAUGCCUCCUCGGUGCACUAUUGUGGAUUUGGAGAGAAACAUAAUGGGUUGUACUUUUAGUGUUCAGCAAAUGGUCUCAGAAUGGCCCCCAGGCUCGCAGAUGGAUUCGGUAGCUGGCAUUCCAACCUUACAGCAUACGUGGAAUUCUGACUUGAGGACUUUGGAACGAUUCCACAGUAUCUGAGAUAGCUGUGUCAGUCCAUCAAUAUCCACACGAAAGUCUAGGAAAAUUAAAAUUCACGAAUCCAGGAAGUCAGGACAUCUGGUUUACCCGUCGCUCUCCCUCCAGCUCUGCUGCUGCACAUGCCCCCAUUUGCUCGGCGGUCAUCACGGUUUCACGCAGACGGGAUGUCUUGCUGUCGGGACUAAACACACUUGACUCAAUCAACAGAGUUAUUGUUCUGAGGCCAAAACAUCUCCGACUCAUAACCUGGCUGUUGUUUUCCAUAUUAAAUGAGUGUGGCAUUAAUUUCUAGCCCUGCCUUGGUAGAACGGAGAGGCCAGCACUAUAAGAAGAUGGAAAAAAUAAAAAUAGCAUCCUCUGCGCACUCCCCUGACAUACAUUCUCAUUUCACCAGUCACACCACAGCAGCGGAACAAAUAUUACAGGCCUGUGUAAAGUUCUAGAACUGACGCAAUAAAUGACAGGAGCGUCCUAUCCUCAGCUAUUCUCAUUUAAGAUGUUUCUUCUCUAAUGUGUUUCUCCCCUGAGUCUUUGUGAAUCCACUAAAGUAAAAACCUUUAAGAAUGUGAAAUUCAUUGGAAGCUGUCCUCCAUUUAAAGCACAGAAAUUGCUGGCUCUCACAGUCUCCGCUCUGUCAGUUUAAUUGGACACAAACACGGGUAUUUGCUGCGGCAGUCACUAAGCAGCACUGUAAAACUGGCACGCCAGCUUGGAAACCCUGCCUGAGCACUGUGCUCACUCUCCUGCUUUUUUACUGCCCCUCUUCCUCCUCAGCACAGCUCAGGCCUGCACGCCUCCAAUUACUGCCUUUCUUCUAGAAAGGAGUCAGAAAAACCACCUUUACCACCUUCUUCUUUUCUAGGACCCAAACCCAGACCGAUAGGGCAUUUGCCCCCCAGCAAAUAAUAAUCAAAUCUUGGGACCUAGGGUGUUUUCACACGGCUGCUCGUUGGCCGUGGAAACUGACUCCUGAAAGAAAGAGGAAAAUUCAGAUGUGACCUCAGUCUCUAAAUGUCAUCACCUUUAAUCCAGCAGCUCUGAAGGGGAACUAACUACCCAGAAUCCUUUGUCACAUUGGUGAGGCGUUCCAGGGUCUGGGAAGAAACUGAUGUCACUGAAGCCUGCUUCCUGGGAAAGGAGAAAAAGGCCAUAAGUGGAGCUAACGGAGAGUAAGAAGGGAUGGUUGUUGUUUCUUUUCUUUUCUUUUCUUUUAUCUUCUUUUCUUUUUACACUUUUGUAUUCAACCCCUUUCCAAGCUCCCACUUCGCCUGAGGUCAGAUAGAAUUCUGCAUGUAAACCAUGCAAAAUAGGUUUUUGGUGCAGCAAACAACAGUCAAAAAAUCCUGCUCUUUAUUCCCAGCAGAAGUAAAAGGCUCCAUGAGCAGUCGCAUUUAAACGCGAUAACCACCACAGUCAGAGCAAGGAGGGUGUCUGCUUUGGGCACCGGUAAGUCCCAGCGCAAGACCGUGACUGUUACAAAGUGGGUGAUUAUCAAAUAUGUUAUGAAGGAACGAGUAAGUAAAUGAAGACACGAAAUGUA